GAUUUCGGUUGAAGUUGGUUGGAAACAACAGAUUUCGAUUGAAGUUGAUGAUUUUAGUCGAAGUUGGUUGGAAACAACAGAUUUCGGUUGAAGUUGAUGAUUUUAGUCGAAGUUGGUUGGAAACAACAGAUUUCGGUUGAAGUUGAUGAUUUUAGUCGAAGUUGGUUGGAAACAACAGAUUUCGGUUGAAGUUGAUGAUUUUAGUCGAAGGUGGUUGGAAAUAACAUAUUUCGGUUGAAGUUGAUGUUUUUAGUUGAAGUUGGUUGGAAAUAACAUAUUUCGGUUGAAGUUGAUGUUUUUAAUUGAAGUUGGUUGGAAACAACAUAUUUCGGUUGAAGUUGAUGAUUUUGGUCGUAGUUGGUUGGAAACAACAGAUUUCGGUUGAAGUUGAUGAUUUUGGUCGAAGUUGGUUGGAAACAACAGAUUUCGGUUGAAGUUGAUGAUUUCGGUUGAAGUUGGUUGGAAACAACAGAUUUCGGUUGAAGUUGAUGAUUUCGGUCGAAGUUGGUUGGAAACAACAGAUUUCGGUCAAAGUUGAUGAUUUCGGUUGAAGUUGAUGAUUUUAGUCGAAGUUGGUUGGAAACAACAGAUUUCGGUCAAAGUUGAUGAUUUCGGUUGAAGUUGAUGAUUUAGGUCGAAGUUGGUUGGAAACAACAGAUUUCGGUCAAAGUUGAUGAUUUCGGUUGAAGUUGAUGAUUUCGGUCGAAGUUGGUUGGAAACAACAGAUUUCGGUCAAAGUUGAUGAUUUCGGUUGAAGUUGAUGAUUUUAGUAGAAGUUGGUUGGAAACAACAGAUUUCGGUCAAAGUUGAUGAUUUUGGUCGAUGUUGAUGAUUUAGGUCGAAGUUGGUUGGAAACAACAGAUUUCGGUCAAAGUUGAUGAUUUCGGUUGAAGUUGAUGAUUUUAGUAGAAGUUGGUUGGAAACAACAGAUUUCGGUCAAAGUUGAUGAUUUCGGUUGAAGUUGAUGAUUUUAGUAGAAGUUGGUUGGAAACAACAGAUUUCGGUCAAAGUUGAUGAUUUCGGUUGAAGUUGAUGAUUAAGGUCGAAGUUGGUUGGAAACAACAGAUUUCGGUCAAAGUUGAUGAUUUCGGUUGAAGUUGAUGAUUUUAGUAGAAGUUUUCUGGAAAAAACAGAUUUCGGUCAAAGUUGAUGAUUUCGGUUGAAGUUGAAGAUUUUAGUAGAAGUUGGUUAGAAACAACAGAUUUUGGUCGAAGUUGAUGAUUUCGGUUGAAGUUGGUUGGAAACAACAGAUUUCGGUCAAAGUUGUUGAUUU